UACGUAGGGUGCGAGCGUUAAUCGGAAUUACUGGGCGUAAAGCGUGCGCAGGCGGUUUUUUAAGCCAGAUGUGAAAUCCCCGGGCUCAACCUGGGAACUGCAUUUGGAACUGGCAGUCUAGAGUGUGUCAGAGGGGGGUGGAAUUCCACGUGUAGCAGUGAAAUGCGUAGAUAUGUGGAGGAACACCAACGGCGAAGGCAGCCCCUGGGAUAACACUGACGCUCAUGUACGAAAGCGUGGGUAGCAAACAGGAUUAGAUACCCUUGUAGU
rnacentral:rRNA from 1 species